UUGCUCGAGGAGGCGGUUGCGGCCUAUCAGCUAGUUGGUGGUGUAAUAGACCACCAAGGCGACGACGGGUAGCGGGCCUGAGAGGGUGGCCCGUCACACUGGGACUGAGACACUGCCCAG
rnacentral:rRNA from 1 species